AGCUCCAAUUGGGGGGGGGGGGAAGUGAAUGAGAGGUGCCGCGUAAAGUUGUUGCGCGUGAAAUGUGCAUCAACAGCAGCGGCCGUCGAAUUUCCGCAGGCACUUCAGCGUGGCGCAAGACGACGCUGCCGGGGUUUUCACGGCAACUAGAAGCCCUUUAUUAAUAAAACGCACAUUGAUUCCACACAGUGAAUGAACUGUUUAUUAUGCAACAGUGGAAACGCCGCUAACAAAAAUAACUAUAAGCCCAGAGUGGGAUUUGCGAACUGUGCAAACUUCACGCAAAACGUCUAAAACCCGCACAGUCAGGAUUCAAACUCCGAGCAUUAAAGUGUGAGGAGCAGAGCUCCGCCGUCUCAGGCGGCCUCUGCUGUGCAGCUCGGCUUUUCCUCUGCCCCAAAGUUCGCACAAAUGUGGAUAUUUCGGUGACCUCUUUAAUGGGACAAAAGAUGCCGCAGAUCGAUUCGUUACACCUUUUUAGUGAGGCUUCUGGUGAAGGGGAGGGGCUCUGAAUCCACAAGAGGCUCCAUUAAUAGCCUACACUCCAUCCUAACUAUUAUCCACCAUAAAGUGUUUAUAAAGGGCACACAACUAGGCUAAUGUUAUCUUAAAUGAAGACGGCGUGAUAUAUCCGUUUAACGCACAACCCGCCCAGCGAGAUAAGAGACGGGAAAGUUUUUUAUUGUUAUUAUCGAGCACCAGAACCGCGGUGAUAAUCACAACAUAAUUCUCGUGGCUCGGUUCACGCUGGACGCGCACUUCCUCCGUCUCCAAACAGCCAGCGGACUCCGGGGCGUCAUUGGCCCCGCUGCAGCAGCUCCGGGCGACGGGACGAGGUCUGGGCUGGAUCCUUUACCUGCAGCCGGAUUACAAACUUUCCGCACACCAGCGGCUCAGACCCAGUUUAUCCACAUCUGUGUUGACGUGGCCAUUUAAAUAGACGCUGUUUAAUAAGAUCCACUGGAUCAUGCGGCGAAGGAGCCCAGCAGGUUGUCAAAUCAGACGCGGCAGAAAGCACGGCCGAGGCGACGCCGACAGCGACCCGUUCUCCGACCUCGGUUUGCGCGGCGACGUCUGCACCGUCAUCAGCAGAAAUAUCAGCUAAUGCAGCUUAACAACAAGAGACGCCUGUAGAGCGGCGAACGGAGCGAGUGGCUCAGGGCGAGACAUCAGAUCACAGCGGCUGUUGUCACCUACAAUCCCUGAGCAGAGAACGGCUCUCCCUUUUUCUGUGAAACAGUUGCAGUGGAUGUGGGUUAAUAAAGACACUGUGUGAACAUA